rnacentral:rRNA from 1 species
GUGCCAGCCGCCGCGGUAAUACCGGCAGCCCAAGUGAUGGCCGCUGUUAUUGGGCCUAAAGCGUCCGUAGCUGGCCGCACAAGUCCGUCGGGAAAUCCACUCGCUUAACGAGUGGGCGUCCGGCGGAAACUGAUCGGCUUGGGACCGGAAGACCCGAGGGGUACGUCCGGGGUAGGAGUGAAAUCCUGUAAUCCUGGACGGACCGUCGGUGGCGAAAGCGCCUCGGGAAGACGGAUCCGACGGUGAGGGACGAAAGCUAGGGUCUCGAACCGGAUUAGAUACCCCAGUAGUCC